AUGCGAUUGGGCCCUGCGGUCGGUCCUGGAAAUGGCGAAUGCAGUACCUGAAAGCCUCCAGCUAUAGAGGCUUGGGAGGGUUCGCCUGAAUCCCCUCGUUCGGUUGAUUAUGCCUACCGGGUAGGCUCAUGGCCAUCCGCUACAAUUUACCAUUAGCAUUACCAGGAAAUGAAAAUUCAUCCAAAUACCCGAUUUCUGAGCAGAAAUGUAACCUAAUUGCAGAGUAAACGAACCACGCAUGUUGGGGAUUAAGUCUAAAUUCCGAAUUUCAACCAUGG